rnacentral:rRNA from 1 species
GCAACCUACCUUAUAAACGGGGAUAGCCUUUGGAAACGGAGAUUAAUACCCGAUAGUAACCUUGAUUGGCGCCUUUAAUGUUUAAAGAUUUAUCGCUAUAAGCUGGGCAUGCGUCCAAUUAGUUAUUAUGGUUCCCUAAUGGCUGACCUGCACAAUGAUUGCUAGGGUAACUGACAGGUUAAUCCCCCACUGUGGGGCUGAUAUACAGUCCACACUCCCCCCGCCUUCCUCCGGAGGGAAUAUUGGGCAAUGGAGGCAACUCUGACCCACCCAUGCCGCGUGCAGGAUGAAGGCGUUAUUCGUUGUAAACUGUUUUUAUAUAUGAAAAAAUACACCUUGACAAGUAACUUGACGGAACUGUAUGAAUAACCCCCAGCUAACUCCCUGCCAUCUCCCGCGGUAAUACGAAGGGUGCAAGUGUUGUCCGGAUUUAUUGGGUUUAAAAGUAGACCACAUGCUUUAUUAAUUGAGUGGUGAAAGACGGUCGCUCAUCAAUUGCAGUGCCAUUGAUACUGGUAGACUUGAGUGACAUUGAGGUAGCUGGAAUGGAUACUGUCCGGUGAGAUGCAUCAUAUUAUCCCAACACCAAUUGCGUAG